rnacentral:rRNA from 1 species
GCGCACUCCUACGGAGGCAGCAGUGGGGAAUAUUGCACAAUGGGCGCAAGCCUGAUGCAGCCAUGCCGCGUGUAUGAAGAAGGCCUUCGGGUUGUAAAGUACUUUCAGCAGUGAGGAAGGUGGGUAUGUUAAUAGCAUACUCAUUUGACGUUAGCUGCAGAAGAAGCACCGGCUAACUCCGUGCCAGCAGCCGCGGUAAUACGGAGGGUGCGAGCGUUAAUCGGAAUUACUGGGCGUAAAGCGCAUGCAGGUGGUUUGUUAAGUCAGAUGUGAAAGCCCGGGGCUCAACCUCGGAAUUGCAUUUGAAACUGGCAAACUAGAGUACUGUAGAGGGGGUAGAAUUUCAGGUGUAGCGGUGAAAUGCGUAGAGAUCUGAAGGAAUACCGGUGGCGAAGGCGGCCCCCUGGACAGAUACUGACACUCAGAUGCGAAAGCGUGGGGAGCAAACAGGAUUAGAUACCCUGGUAG